rnacentral:rRNA from 1 species
GAUGAACGCUGGCGGCAGGCCUAACACAUGCAAGUCGAGCGAUAGAGAGGUGCUUGCAUCUCUUGAGAGCGGCGGACGGGUGAGUAAUGCCUAGGAAUCUGCCUAGUGGUGGGGGAUAACGUUCGGAAACGGACGCUAAUACCGCAUACGUCCUACGGGAGAAAGCGGGGGAUCUUCGGACCUCGCGCCAUUAGAUGAGCCUAGGUCGGAUUAGCUAGUUGGUGAGGUAAUGGCUUACCAAGGCGACGAUCCGUAACUGGUCUGAGAGGAUGAUCAGUCACACUGGAACUGAGACACGGUCCAGACUCCUACGGGAGGCAGCAGUGGGGAAUAUUGGACAAUGGGCGAAAGCCUGAUCCAGCCAUGCCGCGUGUGUGAAGAAGGU